ACGACCUUACUUGAACCUGACCUGUUCUAUAGGCUUGUAUCUUUAUAUUCUUGAUUCUUAAAAACGUUUUUGAUUAGUGUUGGGGAAGUAUCAUUAACUC
rnacentral:snoRNA from 11 species